rnacentral:rRNA from 1 species
GUGGGGAAUAUUGGGCAAUGGGCGAAAGCCUGACCCAGCAACGCCGCGUGAAGGAAGAAGGUUUUCGGAUCGUAAACUUCUAUCCUUGGUGAAGAUAAUGACGGUAGCCAAGAAGGAAGCCCCGGCUAACUACGUGCCAGCAGCCGCGGUAAUACGUAGGGGGCAAGCGUUGUCCGGAAUGAUUGGGCGUAAAGGGCGCGUAGGCGGCCCGGUAAGUCUGAAGUGAAAGUCCUGCUUUUAAGGUGGGAAUUGCUUUGGAUACUGUCGGGCUUGAGUGCAGGAGAGGUAAGCGGAAUUCCCGGUGUAGCGGUGAAAUGCGUAGAGAUCGGGAGGAACACCAGUGGCGAAGGCGGCUUACUGGACUGUAACUGACGCUGAGGAGCGAAAGUGUGGGGAGCAAACAGGAUUAGAAACCCCGGUAGUCC